rnacentral:rRNA from 1 species
AUUGAACGCUGGCGGCAGGCCUAACACAUGCAAGUCGAACGAGUGGCGGACGGGUGAGUAAUGUCUGGGAACCUGCCCGAUGGAGGGGGAUAACUACUGGAAAAGGUAGCUAAUACCGCUUACUAUCGGAUGAACCCAUAUGGGUUUAGCUAGUAGGUGGGGUAAAGGCUCACCUAGGCGACGAUCUCUAGCUGGUCUGAGAGGAUGAUCAGCCACACUGGGACUGAGACACGGCCCAGACUCCUACGGGAGGCAGCAGUGGGGAAUAUUGAACAAUGGUCGCAAGUCUGAUCCAGCCAUGCCGCGUGUAUGAAGAAGGCCUUAGGGUUGUAAAGUACUGUCAGCGGGGAGGCGUUACCCGCAGAAGAAGCACCGGCUAACUCCGUGCCAGCAGCCGCGGUAAUUC